rnacentral:lncRNA from 1 species
UGUAUCCCGUAUGUAUUUAAUAACGUUUUAUAUAAUAUAUAUAUAUAUAUAUAUAUUCCAUUUACAUACAGGAAUCAACAGUAUGGAGGCGCAUAACUGCAGGCCCCAAGAAAUUUUACAGGAUUAUAUACGCAUGGCCAAAUCACAAGUUUCACUCGAAAGAGGGAGGAACAAAUCCCAGAAGAAAUUUCGAGCCAAUGCGGACGUGCCGAGCAUCACCAGCCGUGAACAGUACCUCACACAGCCAAGGGGCCCACGACCCAGAGACUACUUCUUACGAGUCCUGCCACUUCGUCUCCACUACCACCUACCAAUUACUCUCUUGUGCAGCCAACUAAGAGGAUGCAGGUACCAAACAUUGACCAUUAAUGACAUUUUUUCCCCUGCUUUAAUUUCUUUGCGGAUUCUGAUAACCUCGUCCCUUUCUUGCCCUGCAAAGAAGGUAACGAUCAAGGACCACCAAGAUCAGAAAGGCAUUCAGAUUGAUUAGUCCUGAGUGCAUUUCAGACAAGUAGUUAGUGAGACAUGCUCAUGCACAGAAGGUGAACUUACACAGAAGAGAAGCGACAGAUACCCUGCUGAAGAACUCUUGAGCGGAAGGAGGGAGGAACAGGAUGCUGCAGCGGGCGGCGAGCAAUGCCUACUCAUGGUGGUGGGCGAGCCAUGUCCGCACCAAGCAGUCCAAAUGGCUCGACAACAACCUCAAAGGUUUGGCUUUCUUGAACACACCAUCCAAUCCAUUUACAUACAAGCUUAACACAUUAAGUCAUUAACACCUGGGUCCGAUUGCUUUGUUUUUCAUUUUAGCAAGUCAAUGCAUGCUGAUUCAUAAGCAACAUUACCUUCAUCGUAGUGUUACGAUGUGACCAAGGAGAAAAUGAUUUAUCUGAACAGUUUCAUUUCUUGGUCCGAACUUGCAUAGUUACCUGCAAAAGAGCAUCUGGUCUAUAGUAAAUACACAUAUCCUAUUCCAGAUGAUUAUGUAAUUCAUGAAUGUAUCAGCUAAGCAUAGGUAUAUAGUCGCAUGCCAAAAAGAAGUAUAACGAUGUCUGCACUCUGGGCACUCAGAGCAAGAAAUACUAUGCAUUUCAUGCUAGUUUGGUUGGUGUCAUCUUAGUAGUGAUGUAUGCUACAGUUCUUCACAGUCAGAACGUGGUACAUCAUUCUGUGCAAUAGAUAGUCACAAACUUCAAGGCAGUUAAGUCCAUAAAAAGAACUGAAACCUCUGUUACAAAUCAACUCCCUAACAUUUACAAUUGCUUUGAACUCUACAUAUUAUUUUCUACAUUGAGUAUAAUGAAACAUCCUUCAAGAUGUAUUUGUGCAAUCCUGACAAUUUGGAAAAUGAUUUUUUAGCAUUUCUUUCCAAACAGCCAGCAUCUCCUUAUGUUUGUCUAUGUGCAGAUAUGGAAGAUAGGGUCAAGUGUAUUCUCUUCCUCCUUGGGGAGGAAGCUGAUUCCUUUGCCAAGAGGGCAGAAAUGUAUUACAAGCGACGACCAGAGGUGAUCAGUUCAGUGGAAGAAGCAUACCGGGCAUACAGGGCCCUUGCUGAACGCUAUGACCAUAUGUCAGGGGAGUUACACAAAGCAAACCAUACAAUUGCAUCUACCUUCCCUGAUCAGAUUCAGUAUUCAUUGCUAGAAGAGGAUGAUGACAAUCUCCCAAAAGCUUAUACCAAGGUCGAUCCUCGCAAAAUUCACAAGUCAACAGUGGAGGGACUAAUGAAGAAGAAGCAUAGAGAGAAAUCAAGACCAAAAGAUGGAGGAAAGAAGUCUGCAGUUCCAAUGAACAAGGAUAAUGCACAAGCUGAGAUCAGCAGGCUACAGAAAGAGAUAUUAGUCCUGCAGACGGAGAAAGAGUUCAUCAAAAGCUCUUACGAGAGUGGAAUUGCAAAAUACUGGGAUCUUGAGAAACAAAUUAACGAAAUGCAGGAAGAAGUUUGCUACUUCCAAGACGAGUUCAAUGAAAGUGCAGUGAUAGAGGAUGAUGAGGCCAGGGCUUUGAUGACAGCAACUGCUCUUAAAUCUUGUGAAGACGCCAUUAUCAAAAUGCAGGAGCAACAGAAGUCAUUUUUCAGCCAAGCAAUGAUUGAGUCCGCAAGAGUUAAGGUUUCUAGGGAGAAGCUGAAGGGUAUCAUGAGAGUACAUGGUAAAUCUCUAUCAUAUUCAGGAAAUUCUGCAGAUGAGAAUGUUAAAACCGAUGCCGGUGCUAGGAGAGAUGAAUUGUUCUCCAUGAAGCAGGAGAAAUUUGAACUGCAAGAACUAGUAGAAAAGAUCAAGGGAUACUUUGAGAUGGACUCUGAUCUUUCUGUGGUAGAGAUUGCAGAGAAAAUUGAUGAACUAGUUAACAAAGUUGUUGAUUUGGAGCUCAUGAUUUCAACACAGACUGCACAGAUAAAUAGGCUGUGUCUAGAAAACAAUGAGCUGGAGAAGUCAUUGCAGAAAUUGGAGGAAGAGGAGACAGAACAAAAUGACUCAGUGAAUUAAAUGAGAGGCUCAAGGAGGCAGAAAAGGAGCUUAUUAGAGUGCAUAACCUUGAGAGAUCCUACCAUGCAGAAGAAAGAAUAGUCUGUGCAAAUUUCACCGAAACAAUAAAUAGUUUCUGUGACAUUUCACAUAUGCUGCAAUCACCUCUCAUUGAGCACCCAGUUGUUUCAAGAUGCAUGCUGACUGAUGAAGCAACACCAUCCACUGACACUGAACAAUCAGGUGAGCAUAGCAAAACAAGCCCAUUAGAAGAUCCUGAGAUGGAUGAAGCUGCAAGGAAGCCACAAGUAGAUGGAUUUCUUGAUCAUCCAGAUACACCAGAGCCAGCUAUCUUCAGCGAUGACAGUAAGUCAUCUAGUGGCUACCAUGAGAGUAAAGCAGAAAAGCAUUGUCACGUAGAUAAAAUACAGGACUUAAGCUGUUGUGAGUUUGAAGAUAAGUUAAUUGAAGCCGCAUCAGUACCAGUGGAUGUGGGAACAACAGAAACUGCAGAUCAGACUUCAUCUGAUGAUAAUAACAAUGGAGAAUCAGAUCAUGUUCUCGAAAUCACUAGUAACACUGGAAGCAGUGUGCAACAAGAUAUUGUGCACUGCCAUGAGAGCGAUUCAUUAGAAGACGUGCAUCAGAUUUCCUCCAAUAGUCAAGGAGAAAAUUUGAAACAAGAGGACAAUAUGAUAUAUAACUCAACACCAUGUAACAGCAUCUUUGAAGGCAGCUCAGAACAGAAGAUAGAGAUGAACAAAGAAGAAGCUUCAUAUAUCAUCAAAAAUCCAAUUCCUACAAAUGGGAAAGUUGCUGGUGUUGGAGAUCAAGAGGAUAGCAUGAUUAAUCUACAGCAGUUGCUUAUGAAUGGACUCCAAGAUAAGGAAAAGGUACUAUUGGCCGAAUACACUUCCAUCCUCCGAAACUAUAAGAAUGCAAAGCGAAAGCUUACAGAAGCAGAGACAAUGAACCAGGAAUGCUUGAAUGAGAUGAGAGCCACGAUAAGUGAACUAGAGUGUGCCAAUGGAAUGAAGGAUGCAGAGAUUCGGUCACUCCAUGAGCUCUUGAAAUCUUUAACUUACAAAGAUGCAUUGCAAAGUGGUCAUCAAUUGAAUUCAACCAUGUCCCUAAGUGAGAAGAAUGGAAUGAUUAGGGGUCACCGAAGGACUCCAAGUUUUUUGUCAGUUCAUCAGAGGGCACAAAGUGUUUCCUCUAUUCCCAGUAGAAUAAUAAAUAGUUCUAGCCUGAAAAAUAAACCAAGUAUUGAUGCAUCACAUGAUGCUGUUACAAAUCAGAAAAGCAUUAUUCAGGAGGAGCCCACAUCAACAAAUGUAGUUGAGAUGGAUAAAGCAUCACCUCUUGAAAAAAAGUUCAGAAGAGACAUUGAUACGCUUCUGGAGGAGAACCUAGCAUUCUUGAUGAAGUUCAGCAUGUUAUUCCAACAGAUACAAGGAUUUCAGACCAAGUAUGAUCAACUACAAGCUGAGAUUAGUAAGCUAAAGCCAAACAAGGAUCAUACCAAUGAUCAACCUGCAAAAUUGGAAAUGGAAGCAACAGAAAAGAGGCUAAGAGAACUCAAGAUUGAACUGCAAGUAUGGUUGGAACAGAAUGCAAUGUUCAAAGGGGAACUCCAGUGUAAGUUUGAUUCCCUAUGCAGCAUACAAGCGGAGAUUGAAGGAACCAUGGAGAUGGAUGCAGACACCGUGGACAGAGCUAGAUUCACUUCAUAUCAUGUUGCAAAAUUUCAGGGGGAGAUUUUGAACAUGAAGCAGGAGAACAACAAAGUUGCUGAUGAACUGCAGGCUGGUUUGGAUCAUGUGAAAGGGCUACAAAAAGAAAUUGAAAAGGAUUUGGCAAAGAUACUGAGCACCAGCUUAUCUGGGCCCAAAUCUAGCACCACCUGGAGGAAUGCACCCUCUAAAUCAAGAGUACCGCUCCGGAUGUUCCUCUUUCCAGCCAAGAAAAAGAAACCAUCGCUGUUUGCAUGUGUAAAUCCAACGCUUCUUUCAAAGCAGAAUAGCGACAUGGCAUUCUUCACUAAAAUGAGCUAGGUAUGUAUGCCAAUUUGUCCAAAUGCCUCAAAUUUCACCUAUAUUAGUAUGUGAUUUGGCUUAACAUAUUAUUGUUAUGAUCAGGUCUUCCAGAUGGAACGAAAGUCAUCAUCAAGCCAGCAAAGUAGCAAGCAGAACUUUAAAUUAGUAAUAUUAGGUUUUGUCCUGAUGCCAGAAUGCUAUGUUCGGCUUAUGUUAAGGUUCUUGCAAUGCACUCACUGGGAUCAAUUAGCGUUUGCUAACCAGUUGAGUCUAUUCAAGGGGGAUAUGAAUACUCUGUACCUUUUGACAUCUAUAGCUUGUGAAAUAAUUUAGAAAAUAGAAAAAUUUAAUUUCCAUAGCAGUAAUGUGCGCUGAACUAAAUUUAAUUGGCAGUGUAUCGCAUGACAAAUUUCACUUGUGUCAUUCAUUAAGGGUCAAAAUACGUGCACUGUGGCAGCAGGUGGUAAAUGGUAAGUACCUUGUAAUUUGAGGCCGCGAACGGUUGAUCACAGAAUUGGGUGAGGGGCGAAUGGAAGUACUUCACACUGAACAACACAGCCGAAUUCAGGCUUAUUGCAUGGCACAAGCAGACUCAGCAAAGUACAAGAAGACAGAAGAGAAGACAACAAGCUCAGUCAUACAAAAUGGUGCAAGCAACACGGAGGUUUUGAAGCUGGUAGGAAAGCACGCACCAGAGCGAAAGACCCUGAAGGCUGUGUCAAAUUGGCGCCGCAUUCCAUCGAACAGGUCCCUGGCACCUCGGCCUCAAGCGCGCCGUGGCUAAGCGAGAUCCAGGGGAAUAGUGGAUCGCCUGCCCAGGCCAGAGGCAGCCCCUGCAACAUUCCCAAUUUGAGUGCUCGCCGUCUUCUCGCUCAGUUGGAACCGCUAGUGUGGUUGACGUGGCGGGAUGGCUAACGGCGGACGGCGGUGGGGGAGACAGAAAAGCCAGGCCAUCAGCACAUACAGGCGGGCUAACAUGCCAGAUCAUCCUUCACCGCGCGAGGCCAGGUAUGAACGGCUGAUCGACGAGCGCGCCGGCCGCCGGGAGGCGGAGGACGGGCGGCGGCGAACGGAGGAGCGAGAGAGGCCAGCCAUCUGCCCGGAUACAUGAGGACUAAUAUGUAAAAAACCGGACCCAACCAGGGGGUAAUGUGAAAACU